AGCAGCCGCGGUAAUUCCAGCUCCAAUAGCGUAUAUUAAAGUUGUUGCAGUUAAAAAGCUCGUAGUUGAAUUUCGGGAUUGGCGCAUCGGUCGUGCCUCACGGGGUAUGAACUGGUGCAGUCAAUUUCUCACCUUCUGGAGAACCGCGAUGUCCUUAAUUGGAUGCCGCGGGGAACCAGGACCUUUACUUUGAAAAAUUAGAGUGUUUAAAGCAGGCAUUUUUGCUUGAAUACAUUAGCAUGGAAUAAUAAAAUAGGACGGCAUGGUUCUAUUUUGUUGGUUUCUAGGACCACCGUAAUGAUUAAUAGGGAUAGUUGGGGGCAUUAGUAUUCAAUUGUCAGAGGUGAAAUUCUUGGAUUUAUUGAAGACUAACUACUGCGAAAGCAUUUGCCAAGGAUGUUUUCAUUAAUCAAGAACGAAAGUUAGGGGAUCGAAGACGAUCAGAUACCGUCGUAGUCUUAACCAUAAACUAUGCCGACUAGGAAUCAGACGAUGUUAAUUUUU
rnacentral:rRNA from 1 species